rnacentral:misc_RNA from 1 species
AACGCACAUUGCGCCCUUCGGCCAUUCCGGAGGGCAUGCCUGUUCGAGCGUCAUUAUAGACCAUCAAGCACUGCUUGGCAUUGGGCCUCUCGUCCCUGCUGUGGACGGACCCUAAAGACCUUGGCGGAGGCACGGAUCCUCAAGCGUAGUAGUAAUACAUCCCGCUUACGGAGGACUCCGGGUCGUCUGCUUCCAAAACACAAAAAGACCAUAAGGUUGACCUCGGAUCAGGUAGGGAUACCCGCUGAACUUAA